CCAAGUGGAAAAAAACUGAUGACCAGAUGAAAACAGAAACAAGUAUGGUAGGAAAAACCCUUCCUUUGAUUGAGAUAAAAGUGAAGAGAGAAGAGAAUGAGGAUCAUGUUCUCUAGAACUGGUAUAGCCUUUCUCAUUUGGGUCCCAAGGAACCAGAGGGAGUAAUCCUGUGCUUUGACAUAUGGAAAAUCACUGUUGCCACUAAAAAUUUUGAAUGUUUCCAACAUUUCUCAUUUAAGGAGAAGGAAGGCUCCUAAGAGGAAGAGACUUUAAAUGCUAAUUCAGUCACCCUGAACUCUGACUCUCACAGGGCAAAUCCACAGUGGAGAAGGUGGGGUGGGAUGGGAAUAAGAGAAAGCCUUUAUGUUUAGGCUCGAAGCAAAAAGAGGUCUUUUGGCCUGCUGCCCUCAUGGCAUUCAGUGAAACAGCAGCCUGCUCACAUCCAUGGCAAACUGAAAUACAGAGAGAAGAAUGCAGCCAUGCCUGCACAGAGGGUCAAGGUCAGAGAAGCUGUGCUGUCCCCUCUUCAUCCCAAUGCUAUGAGUUAGCUGUGGGACAACAUUGAUGGCCUGAUGAGCUCCCACUGAGGACUGCAGUGAGGGGAUCCCGACCUGAGCCCCAGCACGGCUGUUAUGACUGAGGUCACACAAGACGCCAGCAGGGACAAAUGCUAUGACUGGAGACUGUGCUAGGACUAUGUUACAACUCAUCUGCCCCAGAGCAAGAUAGGUGAGGGCUGAAAAGUAGACAGCACUUCUCACCUUCCCUCUCAUCCUUGAGCAGUUAAGCAUAUCAAUAUCCAUGUUCCAGCACCAAAAUGUCGGAGUAAUUACUUCCUGACCCACAAUUAAAGCAUGCUGCAAUUUUCAGUCAUAA